rnacentral:rRNA from 1 species
GUGGGGAAUCUUAGACAAUGGGCGCAAGCCUGAUCUAGCCAUGCCGCGUGAGUGAUGAAGGCCUUAGGGUCGUAAAGCUCUUUCGCCAGGGAUGAUAAUGACAGUACCUGGUAAAGAAACCCCGGCUAACUCCGUGCCAGCAGCCGCGGUAAUACGGAGGGGGUUAGCGUUGUUCGGAAUUACUGGGCGUAAAGCGCGCGUAGGCGGAUCAGAAAGUUGGAGGUGAAAUCCCAGGGCUCAACCCUGGAACUGCCUUCAAAACUCCUGGUCUUGAGUUCGAGAGAGGUGAGUGGAAUUCCGAGUGUAGAGGUGAAAUUCGUAGAUAUUCGGAGGAACACCAGUGGCGAAGGCGGCUCACUGGCUCGAUACUGACGCUGAGGUGCGAAAGCGUGGGGAGCAAACAGGAUUAGAUACCCGGGUAGUCC